CGCACAUUGCGCCUCCUGGUAUUCCGGGAGGCAUGCCUGUUCGAGCGUCAUUAAAACCUCCUCAAGCUCUUUUGCUUGGUAUUGGAAGAAGAGGCCGCUUGUCGGUCUCCCUUUCGAAAUGCAAUGGCAGAUUGCCUCAUGUGCCCUGGCGUAAUAAGAUUUAUCUUUCGCUUGUGCAUUGGGAUGAUCCCGCCGCAAACCCCCAAUUUUUUCUGGUUGACCUCGGAUCAGGUAGGGAUACCCGCUGAACUUAA
rnacentral:misc_RNA from 1 species